GACGAACGCUGGCGGCGUGCCUAACACAUGCAAGUGGAGCGACGAACCGGGCUUCGGCCCGGGGCCAAGCCGCGAACGGGUGAGUAACACGUGGGUAACCUGCCCUGAUGAUUGGGACAACCCGAGGAAACUCGGGCUAAUACCGAAUGUGCCCUCCGACCAUAAGGUCUGCGGGGAAAGGAAGCUUCGGCCUCCGCAUCGGGAUGGGCCCGCGGCGCAUUAGCUUGUUGGUGAGGUAACGGCUCACCAAGGCGACGAUGCGUAGCUGGUCUGAGAGGACGAUCAGCCACACUGGGACUGAGACACGGCCCAGACUCCUACGGGAGGCAGCAGUGGGGAAUCUUGCGCAAUGCGCGAAAGCGUGACGCAGCAACGCCGCGUGGGGAAGA
rnacentral:rRNA from 1 species